rnacentral:rRNA from 2 species
AACUUUCAACAACGGAUCUCUUGGUUCUGGCAUCGAUGAAGAACGCAGCGAAAUGCGAUAAGUAAUGUGAAUUGCAGAAUUCAGUGAAUCAUCGAAUCUUUGAACGCACAUUGCGCCCAGUGGUAUUCCACUGGGCAUGCCUGUUCGAGCGUUAUUA